rnacentral:rRNA from 1 species
GCUUGCACUUCGCUGACGAGUGGCGGACGGGUGAGUAAUGCUUGGGAACUUGCCUUUGCGAGGGGGAUAACAGUUGGAAACGACUGCUAAUACCGCAUAACGUCUACGGACCAAACGGGGCUUAGGCUCCGGCGCAAAGAGAGGCCCAAGUGAGAUUAGCUAGUUGGUAAGGUAAAGGCUUACCAAGGCAACGAUCUCUAGCUGUUCUGAGAGGAAGAUCAGCCACACUGGAACUGAGACACGGUCCAGACUCCUACGGGAGGCAGCAGUGGGGAAUAUUGCACAAUGGGGGAAACCCUGAUGCAGCCAUGCCGCGUGUGUGAAGAAGGCCUUCGGGUUGUAAAGCACUUUCAGUUGUGAGGAAAAGUUAGUAGUUAAUACCUGCUAGCCGUGACGUUAACAACAGAAGAAGCACCGGCUAACUCCGUGCCAGCAGCCGCGGUAAUACGGAGGGUGCGAGCGUUAAUCGGAAUUACUGGGCGUAAAGCGCACGCAGGCGGUUUGUUAAGCUAGAUGUGAAAGCCCCGGGCUCAACCUGGGAUGGUCAUUUAGAACUGGCAGACUAGAGUCUUGGAGAGGGGAGUGGAAUUCCAGGUGUAG